rnacentral:rRNA from 1 species
UACGAAGGGGGCUAGCGUUGUUCGGAAUCACUGGGCGUAAAGGGCGCGUAGGCGGCCGAUCAAGUCGGGGGUGAAAGCCUGUGGCUUAACCACAGAAUGGCCUUCGAUACUGUUUGGCUUGAGACCGGAAGAGGUUAGUGGAACUGCGAGUGUAGAGGUGAAAUUCGUAGAUAUUCGGAAGAACACCAGUGGCGAAGGCGACUUACUGGACACAUAUUGACGCUGAGGUGCGAAAGCGUGGGGAGCAAACAGG